rnacentral:tRNA from 1 species
UAGUUCAGUGGUAGAAUGCUCGCCUGCCACGCGGGCGACCUGGAUUCGAUUCCCGG